rnacentral:rRNA from 1 species
UGGGGAAUAUUGCACAAUGGGCGGAAGCCUGAUGCAGCGACGCCGCGUGAGGGAUGACGGCCUUCGGGUUGUAAACCUCUUUCAGUAGGGACGAAGCGUAAGUGACGGUACCUGUAGAACAAGCCACGGCUAACUACGUGCCAGCAGCCGCGGUAAUACGUAGGUGGCGAGCGUUAUCCGGAUUUACUGGGCGUAAAGGGCGUGUAGGCGGCUAGAUAAGUGUGAUGUUUAAAUCCAAGGCUUAACCUUGGGGUUCAUUACAAACUGUUUAGCUUGAGUGCUGGAGAGGAUAGUGGAAUUCCUAGUGUAGCGGUAAAAUGCGUAGAUAUUAGGAGGAACACCGGUGGCGAAGGCGGCUAUCUGGACAGUAACUGACGCUGAGGCGCGAAAGCGUGGGGAGCAAACAGG